GCCGCGGCGAUAGCUCAGUGGGUAAAGCGCCAGGUGAGAAUCCGGGAGCGAUUAUCCUCGCGGGUUCGAAUCCCGCCUGUGGUA
rnacentral:tRNA from 1 species